rnacentral:misc_RNA from 1 species
UCUCCGUAGGUGAACCUGCGGAGGGAUCAUUACAGAGUUUUUGCCCGCAGGGGUAGAUCUCCCACCCUAUGUUAUUCCUUCUCUGUUGCUUUGGCGGGCCGUCCGGCCUCGGUCAGGCCACCGGCUCCGGCUGGUGCGCGCCCGCCAGAGGACCCCAAACCCUAAAUGUCAGUGUCGUCUGAGUACUAUAUAAUAGUUAAAACUUUCAACAACGGAUCUCUUGGUUCUG